UGGCCUACGGGCGGCUGCAGUGGGGAAUAUUGGACAAUGGGCGAAAGCCUGAUCCAGCGACGCCGCGUGGGUGAAGAAGGCCUGCGGGUUGUAAAGCCCUUUCGGUGGGGAAGAAAAGCCUCGACCUAAUACGUCGGGGUCUUGACGUAACCCAAGAAAGAAGCACCGGCUAACUCUGUGCCAGCAGCCGCGGUAAUACAGAGGGUGCGAGCGUUAAUCGGAAUUACUGGGCGUAAAGCGCGCGUAGGCGGCUUUGCAAGUCGGGUGUGAAAUCCCCAGGCUUAACCUGGGAACUGCACUCGAGACUGCAUUGCUAGAGUAUGGGAGAGGGAAGUGGAAUUUCCGGUGUAGCGGUGAAAUGCGUAGAUAUCGGAAGGAACAUCAGUGGCGAAAGCGACUUCCUGGACCAAUACUGACGCUCAUGUGCGAAAGCGUGGGGAGCAAACAGGAUUAGAUACCCUAGUAGUC
rnacentral:rRNA from 1 species